rnacentral:rRNA from 1 species
UGGGGAAUUUUGGACAAUGGGCGCAAGCCUGAUCCAGCCAUGCCGCGUGCAGGAUGAAGGCCCUCGGGUUGUAAACUGCUUUUGUACGGAACGAAAAGCCUCUUUCUAAUAAAGAGGGGUGAUGACGGUACCGUAAGAAUAAGCACCGGCUAACUACGUGCCAGCAGCCGCGGUAAUACGUAGGGUGCGAGCGUUAAUCGGAAUUACUGGGCGUAAAGCGUGCGCAGGGGUCUUGCAAGACAGUGGGGAAAUCCCCGGGCUCAACCUGGGAACUGCCAUUGUGACUGCAAGGCUGGAGUACGGCAGAGGGGGAUGGAAUUCCGCGUGUAGCAGUGAAAUGCGUAGAUAUGCGGAGGAACACCGAUGGCGAAGGCAGUCCCCUGGGCCUGUACUGACGCUCAUGCACGAAAGCGUGGGGAGCAAACA